rnacentral:rRNA from 1 species
GAUAUAGCUGGUUUUCUGCGAAAUCUGUUUUAGCAAAUUAUUUAUUUUAUUAUUAGUAGGUAUAGCACUGAAUAUUUUUUUUUCAAUAGAGGGAGUAUUAAUUUACUUAUCUAGAAUAUUUAAUCUCAGAAUGGCUAAUAAGUUAGGUAAAUAAUCGGACUUUUUGCGAUAAGGUAUAAAGUCUAAAGGGAAACAGCCCAGAACAGUA